CCUCAGUCCCACGGAGACCCCUCCGCCACUCGCCUACGCUAGUAAAUCGGUAUUGCAGGACCGCCAACUCAGAAUCCUGAGCGCCUACGCCAUGGGACCCUUAGCUCCUGGAUCUUGGGUCUUAGAGAAUGUGCAGAAAGCCAGGAGAUUUACUAUUCGCUGAGAAGCCUUUGCUGACGGUGCCUCUCCUCUAAUCUGCAUCCUCCAACUCAAAACCCAGAUCAAAUGUCUUCAACGAUGCUUCUUGUCAUUUUCUCAGCUCAGGGCAAUACCUCCCUUCAUCCCAUCUUCUGAAUCGGGCAAACUCCUACUCACUUCUCAAGUAAAAUGUGUCCCC